ACUCCUACGGGAGGCGCAGUGGGGAAUAUUGCACAAUGGGCGCAAGCCUGAUGCAGCCAUGCCGCGUGUAUGAAGAAGGCCUUCGGGUUGUAAAGUACUUUCAGCAGUGAGGAAGGUGGGUAUGUUAAUAGCAUAUUCAUUUGACGUUAGCUGCAGAAGAAGCACCGGCUAACUCCGUGCCAGCAGCCGCGGUAAUACGGAGGGUGCGAGCGUUAAUCGGAAUUACUGGGCGUAAAGCGCAUGCAGGUGGUUUGUUAAGUCAGAUGUGAAAGCCCGGGGCUCAACCUCGGAAUUGCAUUUGAAACUGGCAAACUAGAGUACUGUAGAGGGGGGUAGAAUUUCAGGUGUAGCGGUGAAAUGCGUAGAGAUCUGAAGGAAUACCGGUGGCGAAGGCGGCCCCCUGGACAGAUACUGACACUCAGAUGCGAAAGCGUGGGGAGCAAACAGGAUUAGAUACCCUGGUAGGAUAGCG
rnacentral:rRNA from 1 species